ensembl:lncRNA
GAAGGUUUGAGCAAUUACGGGGCAAUUAGGGAGAGAGCUCUACGUCUUCCUGUGGUUCACACCAGUGUUUCUAAACUAAGUUCCCUUUUGUUUUGAAAAUGUCCUCAUGGACACUUGAGAAUAUGCUCAUUGAUGACAGUUCAGAAAACACUAACUGAUUUUUUAAAAGAUUUUAUUUAUUCAUUCAUGAGAGACACAGAGAGAGGCAGAGACACAGGCAGAGGGAGAGGCAGGCUCCACGUAGGGGGCCCCCGUGAGGACUCGAACCCGGGACCCCGGGGUCACGCCCUGGGCCCAAGACCCCUGCUCCACCGCUGGGCCGCCAGGCGCCCCCGGAAAACACGGAUUCAGGCAAUGACCCAUCCCCAGACCCGGAGGAUGGAGUUCUGCGUUAGGACUGAGGAGACCUACGUCGCACGCCCAGCCCAGCUGCCAGAGCAGUAGGAUCUAAUAGCAGAAGAAAGAGGGUGAUCGCAGACACAACUGCCCGAAGACUCAGUAACCGACAAUCAAUCCUUCCUGUAUGUGAUUAGCUGCAGUCAAUAAUCAUAAAAGUAUAGGCAUUUACAUUUUCUUGUUGACUACAUAAGGGAUUUAUUUAAUUUUUUAAAAUUUAUUUUAAUUUUUUAAAGAUUUUAUUUAUUUAUUCAUGAGAGACACAGAGAGGCAGGCAGAGACACAGGCAGAGGGAGAAGCAGGCUCCAUGCAGGGAGCCCGAUGCGGGACUCGAUCCCAGGACCCCAGGAUCAUGACCUGAGCCAAAGGCAGGUGCUCAACCACUGAGCCACCCAGGUGCUCCUACAUUAGAGUUUUAUUUUUUUUUAAUUUUUUUAAAAUUCCUAAUGAAUUUUUUAUUUAUUUAUGAUAGUCACACACAGAGAGAGAGAGAGAGAGGCAGAGACACAGGUAGAGGGAGAAGCAGGCUCCAUGCACCGGGAGCCCGACGUGGGAUUCGGUCCCGGGUCUCCAGGAUCGCGCCCUGGGCCAAAGGCAGGCGCUAAACCGCUGCGCCACCCAGGGAUCCCCUACAUUAGAGUUUUAGAUGUACAAGUGGCUUUUCUUAUUUUUUACUAUCUUAGGCUCAUAUUAAAAUUGACGGCCAAAACCUCAAUACACAAUGAUUUAUUUUAAACCUGGGUUUUCAUCAUUUGGUCUAAGAUAAGUUGUUCCAUCUCACUUAGCUGAAGAUUUUUCAUCUGUAAAAUGAGGUCUUUGAUUUUAUGAGGUAAAAAAAGGGAAAGAAGAUGAUCCCAAAACCCAAAGGAGUCUGGGAUUCAGUUUUUGCCACAAAUGCUUCCAAAAUCUUACAGGUGCAUAUUAUUAGGUCCACUUACAAGGUGAAUUAGCACUUUCAUUAGGCAAACUCUGCUCAUGGCAUCGCGCCCCUGUAUCCUGCGUGCCCUUCUAGAUCUUGCAUGUGUUACUUAUGGGAAUGAUAAAGCCCAGAAACAGAAUUCCCUCUAUAUGAGUCAGGGGCUCUUUCAGGACAGUAAUAGAAACCCAAAUCAGGUUAGGUUAAUGGGGUAAAAAAAAGUAUUUACCCAUUUCUAUGCCUGGAAUGGGGGGCGUGCAGCGAUGAAGAUAAAACUGCAGGAACCAGGGUCUUAGAAAGUAACUAAGGACUCAGAGUUACCAGUGUUCUGUGUCCAUUUGGUUCACUGCUCAAGUCUGCUUCUCUUUGCCUUUUUAGACUCAUUAUUUUGUAAUGGGGUGGGGGGUGGCAUGGAAACCCCAGGUUAGCAAUCAUAGCCAAAGGACAUAUUUCCACCCCAAGAAAUGCCUCUGUCCCUAAUUGGUUUAUGUGCACAUGACUUGGGCCAGCCUCCGCUGGAAUGGGAAUUGGCACAUAUUUACUUCUGUGGCCGGGGAGAUGGCAUCUAUUAACCAAAAAAUGGGGUGGGUGGGGAGUACGGUUGCCAGACUUAGCAAAUAACAGUUCAUCCUGUAUUUAGUCUGGCAACCCUAGGUGGGAGAGCUUUCUAAACAGGCAAAAUUAAUAACCACCACAGUUGACUCCACUGUUCCUCAAGAACCUGCCUUGUGUCCUUUGCCAUGUUGCUCGUACCAGUGGAAGAUGCAGACAGACAGACAACGGCGGCACAGGAACUUGGCUCGGCAUUAAGGAUAUGCUCUGUGUUUUAGUCCUUCUUGAGAAACGUUCCUAGUUUUCCUUACAGCUGGCGUGCCUUUUCCAUAAGCAUUCUGGUGGCUGGGAGUUAUGUACUCUGUCCUCACCAUAGCAUCACAGAGCUGGGGAGACGCCUGGAGCUUCUGGUCGGCCCUUGGACAGGAUUCGUAAUUCUGGAGUACAGAGACUCAUCUUCCCAAGAGUGUCACGCAUGGCCACUUCUUGACGAGGAAGCUAUACCAAUUCUAAGUGUUUCUGGAGCUUAGAGGAAAGAGAGGAGGCUGGGAGGCCAUCCAACGGAGCUUUGACCAGUGGGGAGCUGACGAAGACUUUCUGUAGAAGAACAGACAUGCCCAGUGUGUGCUGUAGGCAAACGUACCAUUUAGGACCGUGAGGGGCAGGGCCAGAGGGAAGCAGCUUGGGGAUGGGGAGCAGGUGUAUUAGUCCCAUGGAAGGAUGAUAAGGGGCUCAGUGCGAGCCGUGGAGGUAGGACGGGAAAGGAGACACCUUCACGCAGUCCAGACUGAUAACUCAGCAGGAACUGGUGGCUGAUAUUUUCCAUACUUAACCUCCCCCCUGCCGUUAGCUUUAACCAGUGACGUAUCAUCAGUUUCUCACACUGUCAAGAACCCAUGAGCAGCACACACUGAUUUUUUAAAAAGGCCAAUAUUCAAAUAUUUGCUAAAAUACCACACAAUUAGUGAGUUCGUCAUAUUCUCGCCAUUUUAAUGCUGUUUUUAAGUGGAAGUACUUUUCAUACAUCUGUCCUCUUAACGUUUAUUUUUACUGUGGGAGUUGUAUGCCCAAGGAUGAUUCUACUGUGGUGUUGGUUUAAGUGACUUUUUAACGAAGAUAUGCAAGGAUCUAAAUUCAUUCUUUUACUUUACAUGGUUCCCAUUUUGACCUUAUCUUCAAAGUGAUACGAUGGGGAAAAUGUCAGAUCAAGUGUCAGCUGAGCUGCUCCAGACAUACAUCUUCCUUGCACAGGUCAGCUAAAUGACCAUGGACGUGGGGCAGGACCUCGGAUUCUCCACCUACAAAAUGAGGGAGCUUGGGCCAAAUGAUGGUGUCUCGGGAGCCUUCCCAAUCUAGUACAUCAGGUUCGGUAGCUGGAGAAAUUAUAAUUGAGACCAGGAAAAGACGCUGACCUUUGUUGAACACUACCUCUUAUUGAGUAAGCAACAAUCUCAGAUGUGGGUUUAAAACACAGGCCUUGGAAUCCAGCAGAGCCCAAGUAUUGGGUUCAAAUCCUGAUCCUGACAUUUCACAUCUUCCUCCCUAAGCCUCAGUCUGCAUUUCUGAGACAGAAAUGGAAGUAACUGCUUUCACAGUGUCAUCAUAAAGGAUGCAUGAGUCGAGGUAUGGGGAGCACUCUACACAGGGCUAGGCACCUAAACCCCCCAAAUGUCGAGGUUGGUGUUUUAUUAUUAUAUGCGGUGUGAUAAGCUGGACAAGCUCUUCCAAUCAUCCAUGUGUUUGUACAUUUACUCAAUUGUUCAUUCAAAAAAUGCUACAUGCUACAUCUGCCCAAUAAAUAUUUGCUUGGGUGUGCA